rnacentral:rRNA from 1 species
GAAUGCAUUGGGGGGCAUCAGGUUCCUGUUCCCAUCCCGAACACAGAAGCUAAGCCCUCCAUCGCCAAUGGUACUGCUCCUGGAAGGGAGUGGGAGAGUAGGACCAUGCC